UUAGAAAUUAAAGCACCGCGAAAAGGCCUCACUUGCUAGCCGCAAGCCUUGUGUGCGCAUAUGACACCUAAUAAGCCUCUGGUCAUCGUCCACCUCAUGCGCUGCCAUCCUCCGAUUCUUGGUGUACUGUCCUCAUCGCUCCAUUGUUGGUGUACUGUCCUCAUCGCUCCCUGUGUGUGAUCACCGGCACAUAUGAGUGGAUGCGAAGGCGGUGAGCGAUGAGGAAGCAUUGCCGCUAGCGACAAAUUAGGGGGACCUAAAUUGCAUAUUUAGAGUUUAGAGACAUUAUGACAUGCCUAAACAAAUUUAGGAAUCUAGAUGACAUCUAAUGAAAAGUCAUGGAUCUAGAUGACCUGGCAUGCUAGUUCCCUACCCGCAUUUAGUUUGAUAUGUUGCUGUACAUUAGGUCAGUCUCCGUGGGAGUUUCAUGGGCACAGUUACCUAGAUUGAGAAUUAAGUAACUGUGCCAGAUGAGUUUUAUGAUGAUGAAACUCUUCUCACAUCCCAUGAAACUCUAUCUUUCUCUCUCCUUACCAUGUCAGCAAAAAUAAUAUUUAAUGCUAUGAAAUCCUCUAUGAAACUCCCAUUGAGACUGAUCUUAGGAUCACCUAAUCCUUGCAUGAGUUUUUAUAGUUCUGUUUAGUUGGGGUAGGUGGAGCAUGCCAACUGAAAAAUAUCACGGAGUAGGAUCACCACUUUCGAGAUGAUAACGUAGAAUAAUCAAAACUAGAAAGGCUCGCGGCAAAGAUGGCCAUGUAUCUCGCGUUGUAGUAUUGUAGUUGAUGCGGAUUUUAGUUCAUGUACAGGUAAAUCUAUAACUUUAAGUAACGUAGUUAAGAUAAAUUCAUUGUUUCAUUAUUUUGGUAAAGAUGUCAUAGUCUGCAGCUUACAGUUGCACUCGGGGCAUUCUAUUGCCGUGACGUUAUUAUUUAAGUAGUAUAUUAUUUUGGUAUUGAAAUGGAGGUAUGACAUUUAUUGCUAAAUUUAUUGUAGUGAAAGAAGAGAUAAAAUAACUUAUUAGAAAGGGAGGAACACAAUUAGUCAGACAUGAGGAUCAAAGUGUGGCCAGCGCAGCGCCACAGGCGUUCCCCACUGGGGUUGGGCCUAUCCUCAGCCAUUCCUGGGCUUCGACUAGGUUGGGAGCGUCCUUUGCGGCAGAAAAUUCUGUGAUGGGUGGCCUCGAAGCACCGAUAGACGAUGUCCCAGAGCUCAUCGUCGCCGCACGGGCCUCGCCAUUGAUGAGCUCGAGGGAGGAUGGGAUAAGGUAGGGAGUGAGGGCACCGAACACCAGUCCCCUCAGCUCCACCGCUCCAAGCAGAGCCAACGCUACCGCGAUAACCUCCGCACCGUCUACACCACCGCUGCUAAUUCUCGAUGCCCUUCUAGUCGCCCAUCAGCCGCCACAUCUACCGCUAAACCUCCGCAAACUCCUCGGCCAGGGCGUGCCGUCGGGGGAUGGUUUCUCGGACUACCGGACCCUAGACGGUCUCCGCCUCCUCCGCUUCGCCGUGCAACGACUGUCGCGGUCGCCGCUGCGCUGCCCCUCGCCCCGAGCUGACUUCCUCCUCCGUGCGUUCGCCGCUGAGCCGCCCACUAGCGCACCAAUCCAGCGCCAACUCUCUGCGCUAGCCCCACCGGCUGCUUCCAUGACACCGUGUGUAGCCUCUCCUGCGUGUCUGCAGCGCCCCACCUCUUCGCUACUGCCGUGGAGGCCUCGCGCCUCCAUUCCGCCACUGACGCCACCUAGUGGAUGCCAUGCCACUAAAGGGACAUCCGCGACGCCGCAGGGCUACUCCUCAACGACCUCCUCGACGCCUUCUCCGAAUAGUGAUGAGCACCCGGCUGGUCCAUGGCUCCCGCGCGCAAGGGUAGGCAUCGGGGAUUCGGGUCUUCGCAUCAAGCAGCGGAUUCUAGUUAGUAAUUAUUUUUGUCAUAUGCACACACUCUGUACAAUUUAAAUAUGCGCUCUGAACCUCUGGGGUCGCCAUUAAUUCGUGGUGGCCGACACUGUCCUCUGCACUCUGAAACCCACGAUGAGUUGCCGGGUCUACAGUUCCCAGACGUGAA